UGACGACAUACACAUUUUUGUCGACGUUUCGUUAGUUGUCUUGUUAAAUAUCGACGCACGGAUUAAAAAGUACAAAUAGAUAAUGCUUUAAUGUACAAGUGAUUUAUAAAUACACCCCUAAAAUGAGGAUAAAUUAGUCUUUUAAACACUAAUUAUAUUUUAGUCCCCAUCUUAUUACACUAAAAUCAUUUAAUUUUAACAAAGUUAUGGAUAAUUAUGUAUUAGUUAUAGUUUUUCACGUUCCACUAUAAACUUAUAAUUCUUUUACGUAUUUUUGUCAUAUCUUUUAAACUAUAAUGUUUUUACAUACAUCCGAAGAUACCAUAAGGACCUGCUAAUUUUUAUUGACAUUUCGAUGUUUAUUUUAGUCAAUAUCGAUGGUGGAAUAAAAUGUACAAAUAAGUAAGGAAUUGGUGUACAAUGCUUUUGUGCACAACAAAUCCUAAAUUGACUUCUUGGCGACCCCAAUCUUUCAGGGAUUUCAAAUUUUGAAUCACCCGCUUCUGCUUUUCAAACCCCUACAAAAUCUCACUCUGUUCCAUACCAGAAUAUCAGAAAAUCAAGCCUUUGCAGUCAGUGUAAUCACUUCCAUAAUCGCGAGAAUCACCGGAACGGUGGUGAGAGCAGUCACAGUUACCGAGCCGGUGGACAUGACCCGAUAUCUUCUGACCCUAAUCAAUGCUUGUCAUUCUAGAAUCCCUAAUUUUGUAUUUUUGGAAAGAGAAUAAGGUGGAGUAAUUGAUUUGAAAGCCCACAUUAAAAUAAGAAAGAAGCAAAGAUUCCAGAGGCACGCUCAGAAUCUCCACCUAUAGUUGAGCAAGUGCCUGAAUCAGUAAAGGGUAUGGAUGAUCCGGCUGAAACUGAGCAGAAAAAAUCUCAGGCUUUGCCAUCGUGCCUGUGUAACCGCUCAAAGCUUUAAUGGGAGUGUCACAUAUACAAGCAAAUUGGAAAAAAGACAAUUUGUGUACGUAAAGUUUAACUAUGCGAUAUAUGGUUCAAUUACUCAAACCUUUAUCUCAAACAAAUUUGUAUACGUCUAAACUGAAGCCAUUAGAAAAUGUGAAAAGACAAUUUAAUCUCUUAUACCAAUUUCUGA